GGCCGGCUGGCGCAAUGGUAGCGCGUCAGACUUCUACCAUCUCAUUAGGAGUCGUGGUUAUCUGAAGGCUGCGGGUUCGAGCCCCGCGCUGGUCA
rnacentral:tRNA from 1 species